GUUGAAUGGUAUUGAAUUUUUAUUUUAAAACUUUAAGAUUUGGAGUUUAAACCCCCACUUGCAGAUAAAUUAAAAUGAAAAAACACAUCAGCUAGCUGCAAUUAAUACAGCAUCGAUAGAUCACUAACAAUUCUAAUAUUGACAUAGCUCAAAGUCUGGUAAUGAAAUCUGUUGGAGUCUCAUAACGGCUAAUUACAAAGAAUUGAAGGAAAAUAUAUAGCAAAAGAGAUCUAAACUAAAUUGACUCAAACCAUUUUGUUGGAGACAACCCCAAGCUCUUUAAGCACUUUGAUACAUCUUAUUUACUGCAAAUUGAUCAUAACCCAGAGGACCUUUUUUCCCUGUAACUACAAAUAAAAUUGAUAGAAGAGGGAAGUUCUUGCUGCUGAUCAUAAUAAUAAAAGAAAAAUUAUAAAUUAAUUAAAAUGGAAGAAUUAAGAAAAAGGGGUUGAAAUUCAACACCUACUUCCUAUCCUUAAACGUUGAGAAGUUGAUUUUUUUUGACCCUCAGCAGCAAGUGAUUGACGAGCUGAUGCAAUUCCAUCAGGGGCUAAUAACUUGUCGAAGGAAGAACAAUCAAUCCAAUCCUUAAGAAAAUCUUCAUGACCCCAAGUAUCUGGAAUCACAACUUGACCAGCCACCUCUUCUCGAUGCUUCUUUAAUCUUUCACGUCCAGAAUCACAGGCUUCAUUAACACGAUCGCUAGGAGCCAAAUUAACUACUGAUGAGUUGUUUGUUUCUAAGGAAAAUGCAGAAAUCUGUUGGGGUGAUCCCAUAAUAGAAUUUUUGUGGUUUAUAGCAUUCCUGGGCUCUUUUGCGUGGAUGACAAAUGAUAAUGAGUACCCUCCAUCAUCCUCCCUCAAUAAUGGUGCAGGAGAAAG
rnacentral:misc_RNA from 1 species